rnacentral:lncRNA from 1 species
GACCAAGUCCCACUUGCUGUUCUGCCAGGGAGCCUGAUUUUGGCACUGGUGUAUUUCCAGAACCAAGGCUCAGGACCCUAUGGGAUUGCACAGGUCGCAGCCCAAGCGCAGUACUUGCGCACAGGUCCCAGCCCCUUCCCUCUCUGGGACUUGUCUUCUGGCCCCUCACUCCUGCGAUGAGCUUUUCUUUCAGCUGGUGAAAGGCCGCAGACUUCGAACCUCUGGGCCUUUGUCCAGGACGUUCCCUCAGCGCUCAGUGCCCUUCCUGGUGGCCUCCUACAUCUUCAGAUCCCGGCUGAGCUCUGCUUAAAUCCGGGACCGGGUAGUCACUGGGGCAGCCACUUGGCUGGGGCGAGGCCACCUCGCUUUGGGUCUUGUCGCGCCCAGGCCAGCGCCAGCCCAGGCUUGCCAUGGACUGGCUCCUGGGCGUUAGAUGAAUGAAUCGAC